GUAGCCCUGAAUGAAGGCCCACAGCUUGCUGUAGCUGUUGGUUUCAAACAGCGGCUGAUAUAAAAGUCUUCUUUAUGGUCUGUUGACUUUCCCAGUGUUAUCUAAUGGAUGAAGUCGAUUCAGUUCAAAGGAACAGUU
rnacentral:snoRNA from 1 species